UACAGAGGGUGCGAGCGUUAAUCGGAAUGACUGGGCGUAAAGGGCGCGUAGGUGGAUGCGUGUGUUGGAUGUGAAAGCCCCGGGCUUAACCUGGGAAUGGCAUACAAAACUGCGUAUCUAGAGUGGAGCAGAGGUGAGUGGAAUUUCCGGAGUAGCGGUGAAAUGCGUAGAUACCGGAAGGAACACCAGUGGCGAAGGCGACUCACUGGGCUCGAACUGACACUGAGGCGCGAAAGCGUGGGGAGCAAACAGG
rnacentral:rRNA from 1 species